AGGAAAUAUUCUAAACUAGUUUGCUUUCACAAUAUGGUUUCUUAGCAAAGAAUCUCAUUAUUUACACAGUGAUGACAUCAAUAUUGCCAUGUUCUGUUUUAAACUGUCACAUGGAACUCACUAACCAAUUGCCACACAGCCAAUGGAACUUCACAGAUCAUGCUGCACUCAUCUUUAUAUUUCUUAAGAUACUUUCAGGUGCACACAACAUAUGUCAACUGAAUUUUUAAGGGUUACUGUAUCAAUGUUCCUGGCAUCAUGAUGCAAGUCAGAGAAUAUAUUCACUUUUUGAAUGCUCUUCAUAGUAGAAGAAAUGGAAAUAUGUAGAGAAAUAUGCAAAGAAGAAAAGACCUAUCCAAACUGUUAUUAUCAUAGACUACAUUUUAACUUAUUUUUAUAAAAAGAGGUGAUCAAGGAAUAUUCACCUAAAUAAUAUACAGGGAAAAUAUUAUAGAGAUGUCAGAAAGUAAAUUAUAAAGA
ensembl:lncRNA